GGUAAGUUUUCAUUUGUCCAUGUUCUAAAAUUGGAAUGACGCAGAGAAGAUCAGCGUGGUCCCUGCACGAGGAUGACUUCAGAUUUGCAAAGCAUUCCAUGUUUUU